rnacentral:tRNA from 1 species
GCCCGCAUGGUGAAAUCAGGUAGCCACGGAGGACUUAAAAUCCUUUGCGAAAAUCGCUUGCCGGUUCGAGUCUGGCUGCGGGUA